UCAAGCUGCUGUCACUAGGAAGAGGCUCUAGUGAUGAACAGGCAACAAAUGUACCCUACACUUGGGCACCGCUUUUCUGUUUUCUGUCUCCCCUUUCGUAGUCUCUGGGUCUCUCCAGUGCAUCAGCCAGCAUGUUCGGGAAGGAUGGCAGUGAGCUAAUACUGCAUUUUGUGACCCAGUGCAAUACCCGGCUCACACGUGUGCUGGAAGAGGAGCAGAAGCUGGUACAGUUGGGCCAGGCGGAGAAGAGGAAGACAGACCAGUUCCUGAGGGAUGCAGUGGAAACCAGACUGAGAAUGCUGAUCCCAUACAUUGAGCACUGGCCCCGGGUACCGAGUCCAUAUCCAGGCCCCAGAGCAACAAUAAUCCUAAUAGUUAUCAUUCUCAGCACCUUUCACUCAGAUGACUUUGUACACUGUUCAGAACUUAGCUUCUCAAUCUCUAUAAACCCGACAAUACUUAGUACACUUGGUAGAGCUGGGUUUCAAACUUGGGCAUACCAAAGAGAGUGACUGAGCCAUCUGUGUCUCAGUUCUUGGAAAUGUGAGUGGUCCGGGUACUGGAUCCCAUCCUGGGUGGGGUUCUCCUAGUGGCCUGAGUGUGCCACCAGGUCUGCAGGGAGGAGGAAUCCAUGCAGGAGGUUGGAAGAGUCAGAAGAUUUUAUUGGCUGUCUUCACUUGAAUAACAGCCCUGUGGCAUUUUA
rnacentral:sRNA from 1 species